UAUUGCGCAAUGGACGAAAGUCUGACGCAGCGACGCCGCGUGUGGGAUGAAGCUCUUCGGGGUGUAAACCACUGUUGCCCGGGAAGAAUAUCCUGAUUCAUCAGGAUUGACGGUACCGGGUGAGGAAGCACCGGCUAACUCUGUGCCAGCAGCCGCGGUAAUACAGAGGGUGCGAGCGUUGUCCGGAAUCACUGGGCAUAAAGGGCGCGUAGGUGGCUUGGUAAGUGUGCGGUGAAAGCCCGGGGCUCAACCCCGGGUCUGCCGUGCAGACUGCCUGGCUCGAGCAUAGUAGAGGCAGGUGGAAUUCCGGGUGUAGCGGUGGAAUGCGUAGAGAUCCGGAAGAACACCGGGGCGAAGGCGGCCUGCUGGGCUAUUGCGACACGAGGCGCGACA
rnacentral:rRNA from 1 species